rnacentral:tRNA from 1 species
GGCGGUUGUAGUUCAGUGGUAGAAUGCGAGACUGUGGCUCUUGAGACGAGGGUUCGAUUCCCUCCUCCCGCUU